CCUACGGGUGGCAGCAGUGGGGAAUAUUGGACAAUGGGGGCAACCCUGAUCCAGCCAUGCCGCGUGUGUGACGAAGGCCCUCGGGUUGUAAAGCACUUUCAGUGAGGAAGAACGCCUGGUGGUUAAUACCCAUCAGGAAAGACAUCACUCACAGAAGAAGCACCGGCUAACUCCGUGCCAGCAGCCGCGGUAAUACGGAGGGUGCGAGCGUUAAUCGGAAUUACUGGGCGUAAAGCGCGCGUAGGUGGCUUGAUAAGCCGGUUGUGAAAGCCCCGGGCUCAACCUGGGAACGGCAUCCGGAACUGUCAAGCUAGAGUGCAGGAGAGGAAGGUAGAAUUCCCGGUGUAGCGGUGAAAUGCGUAGAGAUCGGGAGGAAUACCAGUGGCGAAGGCGGCCUUCUGGACUGACACUGACACUGAGGUGCGAAAGCGUGGGUAGCAAACAGGAUUAGAUACCCUAGUAGUC
rnacentral:rRNA from 1 species